CGCCCUUAGAGUUUGAUCAUGGCUCAGGAUGAACGCUGGCGGCGUGCUUAACACAUGCAAGUCGAACGGGAGCAGAUUUAGAUUGUUCUAGUGGCGGACGGGUGAGUAACGCGUGGGUAACCUGCCUUGUACAGGGGGAUAACAGUCAGAAAUGACUGCUAAUACCGCAUAAGCGCACAGCUGCAUGGCCGGUGUGAAAAACUCCGGUGGUAUAAGAUGGACCCGCGUUGGAUUAGCUAGUUGGUGAGGUAACGGCCCACCAAGGCGACGAUCCAUAGCCGGCCUGAGAGGGUGAACGGCCACAUUGGGACUGAGACACGGCCCAGACUCCUACGGGAGGCAGCAGUGGGGAAUAUUGCACAAUGGGGGAAACCCUGAUGCAGCGACGCCGCGUGAAGGAAGAAGUAUUUCGGUAUGUAAACUUCUAUCAGCAGGGAAGAAAAUGACGGUACCUGACUAAGAAGCCCCGGCUAACUACGUGCCAGCAGCCGCGGUAAUACGUAGGGGCAAGCGUUAUCCGGAUUUACUGGGUGUAAAGGGAGC
rnacentral:rRNA from 1 species